rnacentral:rRNA from 1 species
UACAGAGGGUGCAAGCGUUGUUCGGAAUUACUGGGCGUAAAGCGCGUGUAGGCGGCCUUGCAAGUCGGAUGUGAAAUCCCACGGCUCAACCGUGGAAGUGCAUUCGAAACUGCGAGGCUAAGAGUUCUGGAGAGGAAGGUGGAAUGCUUGGUGUAGAGGUGAAAUUCGUAGAUAUCAAGCGGAACACCGGUGGCGAAGGCGGCCUUCUGGACAGUAACUGACGCUGAGACGCGAAAGCGUGGGGAGCAAACAGGAUUGAAGAAACCCUAGGUAGUCCAAGAACCGAAUGUACCUCUAGCUAC